GACGAACGCUGGCGGCGUGCUUAACACAUGCAAGUCGAACGGAAAGGCCCUGCUUUUGUGGGGUGCUCGAGUGGCGAACGGGUGAGUAACAAGUGAGUAACCUGCCCUUGACUUUGGGAUAACUUCAGGAAACUGGGGCUAAUACCGGAUAGGAGCUCCUGCUGCAUGGUGGGGGUUGGAAAGUUUCGGCGGUUGGGGAUGGACUCGCGGCUUAUCAGCCUGUUGGUGGGGUAGUGGCUUACCAAGGCUUUGACGGGUAGCCGGCCUGAGAGGGUGACCGGCCACAUUGGGACUGAGAUAAGGCCCAGACUGCUACGGAAGGCAGCAGUGGGGAAUAUUGCAGAAUGGGCGGAAGACUGAUGCAGCAACGCCGCGUGCGGGAUAACGGCCUUCGGGUUGUAAACCUCUUUCGCCUGUGACGAAGCGUGAGUGACAGUAAUGGGUAAAGAAGCACGGGCUAACUACGUG
rnacentral:rRNA from 1 species